GUGUCAGCAGCCGCGGUAAGACGAACCGUGCGAACGUUGUUCGGAAUCACUGGGCUUAAAGGGCGCGUAGGCGGGCGAUCAAGUCAGGGGUGAAAUCUUUCGGCUCAACCGGAAAACAGCUUCUGAUACUGGUCGUCUUGAGUGAGGUAGGGGCAUGUGGAACUUCCGGUGGAGCGGUGAAAUGCGUAGAUAUCGGAAGGAACGCCGGUGGCGAAAGCGACGUGCUGGACCUCUUCUGACGCUGAGGCGCGAAAGCUAGGGGAGCAAACGGGAUUAGAUACCCCAGUAGUCC
rnacentral:rRNA from 1 species